AUUGAACGCUGGCGGCAGGCCUAACACAUGCAAGUCGCACGAGUGGCGGACGGGUGAGUAAUGUCUGGGAAACUGCCUGAUGGAGGGGGCUAACUACUGGAAACGGUAGCUAAUACCGCAUACCAUCGGAUGUGCCCAGAUGGGAUUAGCUAGUAGGUGGGGUAAAGGCUAACCUAGGCGACGAUCCCUAGCUGGUCUGAGAGGAGGACCAGCGACACUGGAACUGAGACACGGUCCAGACUCCUAGGGGAGGCAGCAGUGGGGAAUAUUGGACAAUGGGCGAAAGCCUGAUGCAGCCAGGCCGCGUGUAGGAAGAAGGCUUUCGGGUUUUAAAGUACUUUCAGCGGGGAGGCGUUACCCGCAGAAGAAGCACCGGCUAACUCCGUGCCAGCCGCCGCGGUAAUAC
rnacentral:rRNA from 1 species